rnacentral:tRNA from 1 species
GGGGCUAUAGCUCAGCUGGGAGAGCGCCUGCUUUGCACGCAGGAGGUCUGCGGUUCCGAUCCCGCAUGGCUCCU